rnacentral:rRNA from 1 species
CCUACGUGUUGCAGCAGUGAGGAAUAUUGGUCAAUGGACGAGAGUCUGAACCAGCCAAGUAGCGUGAAGGAUGACUGCCCUAUGGGUUGUAAACUUCUUUUAUAUGGGAAUAAAACGUUCCACGUGUGGGAUGUUGUAUGUACCAUAUGAAUAAGGAUCGGCUAACUCCGUGCCAGCAGCCGCGGUAAUACGGAGGAUCCGAGCGUUAUCCGGAUUUAUUGGGUUUAAAGGGAGCGUAGGUGGAUUGUUAAGUCAGUUGUGAAAGUUUGGGGCUUAACCUUAGAACUGCAGUUGAUACUGGCAGUCUGGAGAAUAGUAGAGGUGGGCGGAAUGCGUGGUGUAGCGGUGAAAUGCUUAGAUAUCACGAAGAACUCCGAUUGCGAAGGCAGUUCACUGGACUGCAACUGACACUGAGGCACGAAAGUGUGGGUAUCAAACAGGAUUAGAUACCCUAGUAGUC